GAAAAGGCUAUGAGCAGAAAGAGUACGCAGCCGGAAGAUAACAGAGAGGAAUUGCCGUUGGCUGAGAGCAGUUCCGAUGGGAAGGCAGCGGAAGUGCGUCUGUGAGCUGAUGCGGGGAAAGGAAGCAUAUUUUUUCCCGGUAUCCGCAUACGGGGAAGACACGUUACGUUUUAUGAGGGAAGGGUGAGAAUAUCAUCUUUAAUAAGAGUGGAACCGCGGAUCAGCUUCGUCUCUUGA
rnacentral:ncRNA from 1 species